rnacentral:tRNA from 1 species
UGGGAUUUAGUUUAUAAUAAAAUAUUUAAAUUGCAAUUAAAAGAAAAGAGAUUUUUAAUCCUUA